GUUUGCAAAUUUUGUAUACUUUUGUAUCGCGUGCGGAAAUUGCUACCAUUUUCGGCCUAAAUGUGGUAGCAAUUUCCGCACGCAAUACAAAAGUAUACAAAAUUUGCGAAC
rnacentral:miRNA from 1 species